CUUUUAUUUUAUUAUUUUCAUUUUCGUUUAUCUAUUUAUUCUUUUGACUUCAGAAAUCCCAAAAAACAAAGCUAUGUUGUUUCUAAUGACAGCUUUUGCUGUUCUUCCAACGAUCUCAUUCAAUGUGUACAAUGUUUAUAAGGGUGUUCAAGCAAGGAAAGGAAGCAUGCUAGUAGGCUUUGGCAAUGGGAUUAGUUGUCUCCAUAUGAUAUAACUGGGAACUAUCCACAUUUGGUUAUAGUGGGAACUGGACUCACAUUUGGGUUUGUUUUGAUGGUUUUUGACGUAGAUGGUUUGGAGGACUAAAUGUAUAUGCAAGAGCUGUGAUCCAUGUACCAUAUCCUACACUUGCAGCGGAUUUUACUUUACUUAUUGGUGAUUGGUACAAGACCAAACAUAAGGUG